rnacentral:rRNA from 1 species
CCUACGGGAGGCAGCAGUGGGGGAUAUUGCACAAUGGGGGAAACCCUGAUGCAGCGACGCCGCGUGGGUGAAGAAGUAUUUCGGUAUGUAAAGCCCUAUCAGCAGGGAAGAAAGAAGACGGUACCUGACUAAGAAGCCCCGGCUAACUACGUGCCAGCAGCCGCGGUAAUACGUAGGGGGCGAGCGUUAUCCGGAUUCACUGGGUGUAAAGGGAGCGUAGACGGCCGUGCAAGCCAGGAGUGAAAGCCCGGGGCCCAACCCCGGGACUGCUCUUGGAACUGUGCGGCUGGAGUGCGGGAGGGGCAGGCGGAAUUCCGGGUGUAGCGGUGAAAUGCGUAGAUAUCAGGAGGAACACCGGCGGCGAAGGCGGCCUGCUGGACCGCGACUGACGUUGAGGCUCGAAAGCGUGGGGAGCGAACAGGAUUAGAUACCCUGGUAGUC